rnacentral:rRNA from 1 species
GACGAACGCUGGCGGCGUGCUUAACACAUGCAAGUCGAACGGAAAGGCCCUGCUUUUGUGGGGUGCUCGAGUGGCGAACGGGUGAGUAACACGUGAGUAACCUGCCCUUGACUUUGGGAUAACUUCAGGAAACUGGGGCUAAUACCGGAUAGGAGCUCCUGCUGCAUGGUGGGGGUUGGAAAGUUUCGGCGGUUGGGGAUGGACUCGCGGCUUAUCAGCUUGUUGGUGGGGUAGUGGCUUACCAAGGCUUUGACGGGUAGCCGGCCUGAGAGGGUGACCGGCCACAGUGGGACUGAGAUACGGCACAGACUCCUACGGGAGGCAGCAGUGGGGAAUAUUGCACAAUGGGCGGAAGCCUGAUGCAGCAACGCCGCGUGCGGGAUGACGGCCUUCGGGUUGUAAACCGCUUUCGCCUGUGACGAAGCGUGAGUGACGGUAAUGGGUAAAGAAGCACCGGCUAACUACGUG